rnacentral:tRNA from 1 species
GUGUUUGUAACUUAAGUGGAAAAAGUGUUAAACUACGAAUUUAGAAAUGAAGGUUCAAAUCCUUCCAAACAUU